UACGUAGGGGGCUAGCGUUGUCCGGAAUCAUUGGGCGUAAAGAGCGUGUAGGCGGUCCGGUAAGUCCGCUGUGAAAGUCGGGGGCUCAACCCUCGAAUGCCGGUGGACACUGUCGGGCUAGAGUGCGGAAGAGGCGAGUGGAAUUCCUGGUGUAGCGGUGAAAUGCGCAGAUAUCAGGAGGAACACCAAUUGCGAAGGCAGCUCGCUGGGACGUUACUGACGCUGAGACGCGAAAGCGUGGGGAGCAAACAGG
rnacentral:rRNA from 1 species